rnacentral:rRNA from 1 species
AGCCCAACACCAGCCCAAAAACCCCACCCCAAAAACCCCACCCAAAAACACCACCCAAAAAUUUGCCAAAACUAAUAAAAGCGAUCGAACGUUAACCAUCCUUUAGGCGCAGUAGGGAUAGUACUGCGAAGGAACAAUGAAGGACCCCCCCCCCCAGCCAAAAACAGAAGACAUCAACCAACGUACCUCUUGCAUCAGGAUUUAGCAAGAACAAAACAGACAAGCCGCACGCCAUGAGCCUGAAACCCCGAAAGCAAGUGAGCUAUUUUUGAGCAGUCACACGGACUAACUCGUUUCUGUAGCAAAAGAAUGAGAAGACUUAAAAAUAGAGGUGAAAUGCCAACCGAACUUGCUGAUAGCUGGUUGCCUGAAAAAUGAAUUUAAGUUCAACCUUAGGUUUCUUCCCCCAAUAAAAUCAGACCCCCCCCCCAACCUAAAACAUAGUCAAUAAGGGUACAGCCCUAAUGACAAAGGAUACAGCCCAAAUUAGAGAGAAAUUCCAAAAACCCACCCACCAGUAGGCCUCAAAGCAGCCACCACUAAACAUUUCGUUUCAGGAACCCUAACAAAAAUACAAAAAAACAAAAAAACUCCUUACAACAAAUCAGGCCAUUCUAUAGAACAUAGAAGAGAAAAUGCUAAAACUAGUAAUAGGAAUAUUUCUCCAGACAAACCCUUAAACAUACACAAUUAACAGACCAUUAAACGGAACCAAUAAGACACCCCUACAAACGAAUACGAACCACACUGUUAACCCAACAAAGGAUUGUCCAACACAGGAAGAUUAAAAGUCAAUAAAAGGAACUCGGCAAACAACUUUCCAACUGUUUACCAAAAACAUAGCCCUUAGACAUUCAAAUAUUAAAGGUAACGCCUGCCCAGUGAGGACCCCCCCCCUUAAACGGCCGCGACAUAACCGUGCAAAGGUAGCACAAUCACUUGCCCCUUAAAUAGGGGCUAGUAUGAACGGCUUCAUGAGAAAGUGACUGUCUCUUAAGACUGAUCUAUGAAACUUAUCUCCUCGUACAAAAGCGAGAAUAAGAAAUAAAAGACAAAAAGACCCUGUGAAGCUUAAAAUCAAACUUCAACCACAGUGAUGUACAUUUUUUAGUUGGGGCAACUAGAAGGAAACAAAACCCUUCAAAAUGUAAAGGCCAACAAGCCUAAACAGCAAACUAUGACCCGAUAAAAUCGAACAAAGAACCAAGUUACUCCAGGGAUAACAGCACCACAUUCUUGCAGAGUCCAUAUCAACAAGAAUACCUACGACCUCGAUGUUGGAUCAGGAUAUCCUGAUGGUGCAGAAGCUAUCAAGGGUCCGUUUGUUCAACGGUUAAAAUCCUACGUGAUCUGAGUUCAGACCGGAGCAAUCCAGGUCGGUCUAUAUCUAUUACACAGACGCCCAUGCCAGUACGAAAGGACCGCAGCAGACGAGGCCAAUAGUAAUGAAACGCCUUACAAAUCAUGUUAUGAACACACACUAAACCACAAACAUUCUCCUCCACCAAAUCCAAGACAAGGAAAAUGUCCACAUGGAACCACCGCUUCCAUGUGGACAUUUAUGCCC